rnacentral:misc_RNA from 1 species
UUGUGGAGGAGGACGCCGAAGGUGGGGCUAAUGACUGGGGUGAAGUCGUAACAAGGUAGCCGUACCGGAAGGUGCGGCUGGAUCACCUCCUAACAGGGAGACAACAAAAUGUUAAAUAUUAAUUUUGUCACCUUAGGUCGAUCGGUAUCUCACAUUCUUAAUCAAUUUAAGAAUUUUAUUUCCUAAGUUUUUCUAGGUCACACCCAUCAUUUUUCCUGGGCCAUUAGCUCAGGUGGUUAGAGCGCACCCCUGAUAAGGGUGAGGUCCCUGGUUCAAGUUCAGGAUGGCCCAUAUCUCUAUGUUGGGGGUAUAGCUCAGUUGGUAGAGCGCCUGCUUUGCAAGCAGGAUGUCAGCGGUUCGAGUCCGCUUACCUCCACUGAUUACCACCUCUUCCAUAAUUUAUAGAAGGGAAAUUUUGAGUUGUGAUCUAAUUCUGAACGAAUCUAGCUUCCUAAUUAAAUUUAUUAAGAUGCUGGACUCAUUGAAUAAUUUUCAUUGUUUUCAGAGAACCUUGACAACUGCAUAGAUUAUUUUUAAAGACAAUAAGCAUCUUUAAUGAUGCAGAUUUAUUAUUUGUGCGAAUGCAUUAAUAACAAUUCUAUUAAGCUGAUGCUUCAUUUUUGAAGUUAUUGGUCAAGCUACAA